rnacentral:rRNA from 1 species
UACAGAGGCCACAAGCGUUAGUCGGAAUCACUGGGCUUAAAGGGUGCGUAGGCGGCUCGAAAAGUGCUUUGUGAAAUCCCGGGGCUCAACCCCGGAACAGCAGGGCAUACUUUCGAGCUUGAGGCAGGUAGGGGUCGCGAGAACAGUAGGUGGAGCGGUGAAAUGCGUAGAUAUCUACUGGAAUGCCGAUGGUGAAGACGCGCGACUGGGCCUGUCCUGACGCUGAGGCACGAAAGCGUGGGGAGCAAACAGG